rnacentral:rRNA from 1 species
AUUGAACGCUGGCGGCAGGCCUAACACAUGCAAGUCGAACGAGUGGCGGACGGGUGAGUAAUGUCUGGGAAACUGCCUGAUGGAGGGGGAUAACUACUGGAAACGGUAGCUAAUACCGCAUACCAUCAGAUGUGCCCAGAUGGGAUUAGCUAGUUGGUGGGGUAACGGCUCACCAAGGCGACGAUCCCUAGCUGGUCUGAGAGGAUGACAAGCAACAUGGGAACUGAGAAACGGUCCAGACUCCUAGGGGAGUCAGCAGGGGGCAAUAUGGCACAAUGGGCGCAAGCCUGAUGCAGCCAUGCCGGGUGUAUGAAGAAGGCCGUGGGGUUGUAAAGUACUUUCAGCGGGGAGGCGUUACCCGCAGAAGAAGCACCGGCUAACUCCUUGCCAGCAGCCGCGGUAAUC